AGUGAACGCUGGCGGUAGGCCUAACACAUGCAAGUCGAACGGCAGCACAGUAAGAGCUUGCUCUUACGGGUGGCGAGUGGCGGACGGGUGAGGAAUACAUCGGAAUCUACUUUUUCGUGGGGGAUAACGUAGGGAAACUUACGCUAAUACCGCAUACGACCUACGGGUGAAAGCAGGGGAUCUUCGGACCUUGCGCGAUUGAAUGAGCCGAUGUCGGGUUAGCUAGUUGGCGGGGUAAAGGCCCACCAAGGCGGCGAUCCGUAGCUGGUCUGAGAGGAUGAUCAGCCACACUGGAACUGAGACACGGUCCAGACUCCUACGGGAGGCAGCAGUGGGGAAUAUGGGACAAUGGGCGCAAGCCUGAUCCAGCCAUACCGCGUGGGUGAAGAAGGCCUUCGGGUUGUAAAGCCCGUUUGCUGGGAAAGAAAAGCAGCAGGUUAAUACCCCGCUGUUCUGACGGUACCCAAAGAAUAAGCACCGGCUAACUUCGUG
rnacentral:rRNA from 1 species